rnacentral:tRNA from 1 species
GCGCCCAUGCUCAGUCGCACAGCAUUGGAAUGAACGUGAUGGACCAGGUCGAGCGCAUGCGAGACGACGCCCAGAACA